UAAGCAUAUCAAUAAGCGGAGGAAAAGAAACCAACAGGGAUUGCCUUAGUAACGGCGAGUGAAGCGGCAACAGCUCAAAUUUGAAAUCUGGCGCUUUCGGUGCCCGAGUUGUAAUUUGCAGAGGAUGCUUUUGGCGACGUGCCUUCCGAGUUCCCUGGAACGGGACGCCAUAGAGGGUGAGAGCCCCGUACGGUCUGGUGCCUAGCCGCUGUAAAGCUCCCUCGACGAGUCGAGUAGUUUGGGAAUGCUGCUCUAAAUGGGAGGUAAACUCCUUCUAAAGCUAAAUAUUGGCCAGAGACCGAUAGCGCACAAGUAGAGUGAUCGAAAGAUGAAAAGCACUUUGAAAAGAGAGUUAAAUAGCACGUGAAAUUGUUGAAAGGGAAGCGCUUGUGACCAGACUUGGGCUUGGUAGUUCAGCCGUCCUUUUGGGCGGUGCAUUCUGCCGGUUCAGGCCAGCAUCAGUUGCCGGCUGGGUAGAAUUGUACUGGGAAUGUGGCUCUUCGGAGUGUUAUAGCCCGCUACGUAAUGCCCUACUGGCGACUGAGGUUAGCUUUCUCACGGAUGCUGGCGUAAUGGUUAUUAGCGACCCGUCUUGAAACACGGACCAAGGAGUCGUCCUGCUAUGCGAGUGUUUGGGUGUUAAACCCCUANGCGGAAAAUGAAAAGUUGAACGGAGGUAAAGAGCUAGGGCGCAUCAUCGACCGAAUCUUGAUGUUUACGGAAUGGAUUUGUAGUUACGAGCAAUAGACGGGGCCGGGACCCCGGAAAGGAAGGUAAGCAAAAAGAACCCGGAAAAGGCCCCCAAAUUUUUAAGUGGGACGUAUGUACUAAUAGUGGUAAUUUUAUAGGUGAACUAUGCUUGAAUAGGGCAAAGCCAGAGGAAACUCUGGUGGAGGCUCGCAGCGGUUCUGACGUGCAAAUCGAUCGUCAAAUUUGAGCAUGGGGGCGAAAGACUAAUCGAACCUUCUAGUAGCUGGUUUCUACCGAAGUUUCCCUCAGGAUAGCAGUGUUGAUUCUCAGUUUUAUGAGGUAAAGCGAAUGAUUAGGGACUCGGGGGCGCUAUUUAGCCUUCAUCCAUUCUCAAACUUUAAAUAUGUAAGAAGCCUUUGUUGCUUUAGUGAACGAAGGCAUUAGAAUGUACAACACUAGUGGGCCAUUUUUGGUAAGCAGAACUGGCGAUGCGGGAUGAACCGAUCGCGAGGUUAAGGUGCCGGAGUAGUCGCUCAUCAGACACCACAAAAGGUGUUAUCACAUCUUGACAGCAGGACGGUGGCCAUGGAAGUCGGAAUCCGUUAAGGACUGUGUAACAACUCACCUNCGAAGUA
rnacentral:rRNA from 1 species